rnacentral:rRNA from 1 species
CCCUUUGCUACGGAAUAGUCCCGGGAAACUGGGUUUAAUACCGUAUACGCCCUUCGGGGGAAAGAUUUAUCGGCAAAGGAUCGGCCCGCGUUGGAUUAGGUAGUUGGUGGGGUAAUGGCCUACCAAGCCGACGAUCCAUAGCUGGUUUGAGAGGAUGAUCAGCCACACUGGGACUGAGACACGGCCCAGACUCCUACGGGAGGCAGCAGUGGGGAAUCUUAGACAAUGGGGGCAACCCUGAUCUAGCCAUGCCGCGUGAGUGAUGAAGGCCUUAGGGUUGUAAAGCUCUUUCAGCUGGGAAGAUAAUGACGGUACCAGCAGAAGAAGCCCCGGCUAACUCCGUGCCAGCAGCCGCGGUAAUACGGAGGGGGCUAGCGUUGUUCGGAAUUACUGGGCGUAAAGCGCACGUAGGCGGAUUGGAAAGUUGGGGGUGAAAUCCCGGGGCUCAACCUCGGAACUGCCUCCAAAACUAUCAGUCUAGAGUUCGAGAGA